CAAAAGUAGGUAAGGACUGUGUUGCCGGAUUUCUCCAGAAAGAAGAGCCCCAAGGACAUGGCCAGCAGGGCGAGAGCACAAGUGGCGCAGGAAAUCAUCAUCAGAGGGCGACGCGGGAACCUGUGGAUGAGUUCAACCAGGUGGCUGCUCCGUCUGAGAAGCCCGCAUUCGUCAGAAUAGAGAGCGAGUAGAAGAAUAUCUGCAAGCGGAAUCAGAUAUUGAAAAUCAAUUUAAAUGUAAUAAAUUUAACCAGCUCA